rnacentral:rRNA from 1 species
GUGCCAGCAGCCGCGGUAAUACGUAGGGUGCGAGCGUUAAUCGGAAUUACUGGGCGUAAAGCGUGCGCAGGCGGUUUUGUAAGCCAGACGUGAAAUCCCCGGGCUUAACCUGGGAAUGGCGUUUGGGACUGCAAGGCUUGAGUAUGGCAGAGGGGACUAGAAUUCCUGGUGUAGCAGUGAAAUGCGUAGAUAUCAGGAGGAAUACCGAUGGCGAAGGCAGGUCCCUGGGUUAAUACUGACGCUCAUGCACGAAAGCGUGGGGAGCAAACAGGAUUAGAUACCCUGGUAGUCCACGCCCUAAACGAUGUCGACUGGUUGUUGGGGGUUUGACACUCUCAGUAACGAAGCUAACGCGUGAAGUCGACCGCCUGGGGAGUACGGCCGCAAGGUUAAA